AUUGAACGCUGGCGGCAGGCCUAACACAUGCAAGUCGAACGAGUGGCGGACGGGUGAGUAAUGUCUGGGAAACUGCCUGAUGGAGGGGGAUAACUACUGGAAACGGUAGCUAAUACCGCAUACCAUCGGAUGUGCCCAGAUGGGAUUAGAUAGAAGGUGGGGUAAAGGCUCACCUAGGCGACGAUCCCUAGCUGGUCGGAGAAGAGUACCAACAACACUGGAGCUGGGACACGGUACAGAACCCUCCGGGAGGAAGCAGUGGGGAAUAUUGCACGAUGUGAGAAAGCCUGAUGCAGCCAUGCCGCGUGUAUGAAGAAGUCCUUCGGGUUGUAAAGUACUUUCAGCGGGGAGGCGUUACCCGCAGAAGAAGCACCGGCUAACUCCGUGCCAGCGGCCGCGGUAAUAC
rnacentral:rRNA from 1 species